GAUCAACACAAUUAUUAACUUUACAAGAUUACAACUCUACAUUUACAAAAUGAAACUGAAACUGAAUACAUCAACUUCUACUGACUGUCUAUACAGCCUCUACUGGUUCUGACUUUAGAUAGCCGACUCAUGACUCCCAACUAUCCAAGCUCAAUACGACUAAAAUAAGAAAAUACAAUACAUCUUGAACUAUAUAACUAACUCAAGCCCUUAAAUCAAAAGGACUCACCACUUGC
rnacentral:lncRNA from 1 species